rnacentral:misc_RNA from 1 species
UGAAAAGGCCAGGGAAUUCACCCGAGCAAGGAAUAAAAGAGGUAUGGUUGUGCUGUCCACUUGCAACUCUUUAGCGAAUUCAGUUUUUAACUUGGAUUAUGUCAUUGUGGAAUUUCAUUUAAUUUCGCUGGGUGGGAAAUCAAAAGUGUUGUUUGCCAUUAAGCUUACCCUUGACAAUGCCUGUGUAAAAAGUAGGAUAUGAUGGCUACCCAAUACUGCAUUCAUUUUGUAUCUUUUGAACUUGUUAGAGUCUUCUUAUUAAAGGACAAGGAACCUAUUACUGUGAAGAUGGAAAGCAGUCUCCUUGGCAUUAUUCUGAUUUUGAAAACCUUCUUUAUAGUGCCCUUUACAUGUUUGGUUAUCUAGUAGAAUAUGUGUGUUAGAUACAUUAAGUAAAGUAAAUGCAGGCUGGAUACAUUUUAUUCCUGUUUUCUUUCAUAACAGAUAUAUCACUCUUGGAGUUCCACCUAAGGUGUUUUGAUUUCAUAUCUUGAUUGUCUCGUAAGCAGAGUAUUUUCACAACAAUCAUUAACUGCUCUCUCUCUCUCUCUCUGAGACUAAAGGUGUGGGGGGAAAAAUCCCUUUUUAAAAUCCAUCUUGAUGGGUUCAUGUUUGAUGAUGGUUAUCUGGAUGUUAUAAAUUCCAUUUAUACUGGGAUAAUAAUAAUAAUAAAAAAAAGCCCAUGGAAAUGGUUUUCUUACGGUGGCAAUGGGUACUUUGACUCUUCAUUCUGCCUCAGAUUACAUUUGUUGGAUAAUGAUACUUGGACAUGAGAAAGACACUUUAACUCUUUAAAUUAGUGAGAAAAAUCUAUUAAAGUUUUUUAACAUAGCCAAAUUCAACCCCACAUCCAUUAUUUGAUAUCAUACCACAGUUCAAGUAACAUAGAUGAUAACUUUUUUAUGCGGGUAAAUAUGGCAAGUCAAAAUCUGUGAAGAUGUGAAGUGCUAUUAUAAAAUUUAGGUUGUUUACUGGUUGAGUUCCGAUUGAUACAAUUGUCAUGCAGCGGCUAUUCAAUGUUUGAAGA